CAGCAUAUGAUGCACAGCUAAAGGAAUCCCAGUGUCAGUGAGUGCCCCUUCCCAGCCCGGAGCCCCAAUGCAUUGACUUGGGUAUCUUUACUGUGUCCACAGUUCUGUCAUCCCAAAGAAAUUCUCAUUUCUUACAGUUAAUAUUAUGAUUGAGUCGCAUUUCAGGAAAAGCAACUGCGCGACAGAAUCGCACAUGGAUGUGAAACAGCGCACAGAGCGCCAGCAAAUUCCGCAGCGUUGUACAAAGGCCUCAGCUGUCCUGCAAUUACCAUUGGGGUGAGCGGUUGCACGAUUUGGGUACCCUGGUGCCACCCAGACUGGUUGGGAAUCAUGGAAUCUUGUUGCAGAGCCAAAUCCCAGCUGCUCACAUCUGCUGCACAUCAAGAGCAGACACUAAACAGAGCCACAGCACUUCCAGUGACAGAUCCGCCUGAUCAUUCCCAUCCGCCCAGACCUGUGGAUGAAACCGACUUGGCGAAUUUGCUUGCACUCUCUGGACACGGACGAGCUAAUGGCAUAUGCACUUUAAAGUGAUAACGCUCAGGGACCCUCCGCUCCACCACUGGGGCUGAAGGGAGACAGGGCGAGCAGGGUGGUAGCUCAGUUUUGCUUUAUUUUAUUUUGGCUGGGACUGGGAUACAGAGAGAACUUUACAAUAGAGAUGUCAACCUGUAGCCCUCAAGCUAUUGUUAAACUAUAAAUCUCUAAUCCCCAA